GGGGUGAGCUGCAUAGAGGUCCUUGUGAGUUGCGCGAGACCGGAAGCCUUUACUUAACGUCACAAAGAGAAGCAUCAAACAGCAGUCAUACCCUAUUAUCCUGAUAGCUGGCACGGAGCUGAAGGUAGCUGAUACAGAGCCUGAAAUAGUGCUUCAGUCAACAUGUAUCAUGCAGAUGGAGGCCGAUGGAUGCGACGGUCCAGCCACCGCAGGGGAUCUUCCAGGUACCAACGGAGAGGGGAAUGAUGGGGCUUCCCUGGUGGAGCAGUGGUUGAGAAUCUGCCUGCCAAUGCAGGGGACACGGGUUCGAGCCCUGGUCUGGGAAGAUCCCACAUGCCGCGGAGCAACUGGGCCCGUGAGCCACAACUACUGAGCCUGCGCGUCUGGAGCCUGUGCUCCGCAACAAGAGAGGCCGCGAUAGUGAGAGGCCCACGCACCGCGAUGAAGAGUGGACCCCGCUUGCCACAACUAGAGAAAGCCCUCGCACAGAAACGAAGACCCAACACAGCCAUAAAUAAAUAAAUAAAUAAAUUUUUUAAAAAAAGGAAUGAUGGAAUGCUUAUGAUCAUAUAUGCUAAUGGACAUAGUAUCAGGAAUGUUGGGAUGGGAAAUAUUUCAUGAAGUUGAUUUUCAUGCAUUUAGUGAGCCAAGUUUGUGAUUUCCAAUGAUUAAAAAUGCACUCAGUAGAAUCACUGUUUGCAAACCAAACUUCAUGUAAUACUUCAAUGGAGAAAGUUGGAACUCUAUAUCAGUUAUACAGUAACUCCCCGUAGCUUCUCCCCCAACAACUGGAAACCAUCAUUCUACUUUGUCUCUAUUAUAAGAACUUCAUAUAAGUGGAGUCAUAUAGUA